rnacentral:lncRNA from 10 species
CCAGCUCGUCCGAGCCGCAGGGAUGGACACAUCAUGCUCUCUUCAAUUCAACCAGUGGGAGGAUCUGUGAGAAACCAGGGAAGAGGGGCGUGUCCGAGCCAGGAACUGGACUCACCUGGGCAACUUCCCGCACGAGACCAGGGAAGAGGGGCGUGUCCGAGCCGGGAACUGGACUCACCUGGGCGACUUCCCGUGCGAGACCAGGGAAGAGGGGCGUGUCCGAGCCGGGAACUGGACUCACCUGGGCGACUUCCCGUGCGAGACCAGGGAAGAGGGGCGUGUCCGAGCCGGGAACUGGACUCACCUGGGCACCUUCCCGAGAGAGACCAGGGAAGAGGGGCGUGUCCGAGCCGGGAACUGGACUCACCUGGGCACCUUCCUGUGUGAGACCAGGGAAGAGGGGCGUGUCCAAGCCGGGAAAUUGACUCACCUGGGCACCUUCCUGCCCUCCUCCUGACGCCCUCUCAGAAUAAGGCUCUCGCUGUCUCGCUCCCAUCCCCACCCUCCCGUGGGGUGGGGGCUGACUCUCUCCACUUGUCUGGGUAGCAUGAGGUUCUGUCUCACUUGGGCAACUACAACAGAGUAACUUUGACUUGGUGCCUUAAACAACAGAAAUUUAUUUCUCACAGUUCUGGAAGCCAGAGGUCAAGAUCAAGGAGCGGGCAGACUCGGUUCUGUGAGGGCCGGCUUCCUGGCUUGCAGACGAUGCCUUCCCAUGUCCCCACAUGGCACGAAGCAGAGAAGGGAACCCAGCGCCCGUGUCUCUUCCCCUGAGGGUGCUGGUCCUCUUCCGAGGGCUCCACCCUCCUGACCCAGUCACCCCCAAAGGCCCCCUCUCCUAACACCAUCACACUGGAGUGAGGGUUUCAGCAUGUGGAUUCUGGGGACACAUCCAGUCCACGCAGGCCUGAGUGGCCGCCUGGUCUGCUGAAAGCCACUCAGCUCGGGCAGGCCCAUGGCGGCUGCCUGCGGGCCAUACUCUCUGCAGCCCACACCAGCGCCGCCCUCUGCAGGGGCUGAGGCAGAUGCUGCUGGGUGCCGAGGGUGGCGCCUUCGUGUUUGCCGGAGGGUGUGGGGCAGCGGGCCGCCCUGGGAGCCUUGGGACUCGCCGGACUUCAGCUCUGUGCAGCCUCUGGUGUGCAGCUUGGAGAACCCAGCCUUUCUGAACCAUCCACCUGGUGUGGCGCUAGAUGACCUUGUCCUGGAUGUGGGGUGGGGAGGGCUGUGACAGUCCAUGGGCCUUGCCAAGGCUGGAUGGCCCCGCCCAAAGCCUACUGGACAUCUGGCCAAGCAAGGCCCUGGUUGACAUGCACCUUCCUUGGGCUAGGUGGGGCUGUGAG